rnacentral:rRNA from 1 species
GACGAACGCUGGCGGCGUGCCUAAUACAUGCAAGUAGGACGCAGUUGCGAACGGGUGAGUAACGCGUAGGUAACUGCCUAUUAGAGGGGGAUAACUAUUGGAAACGAUAGCUAAUACCGCAUACUAGUAGAUGGACCUGUGUUGUAUUAGCUAGUAGGUAGGGUAAUGGCCUACCUAGGCGCCGAUACAUAGCCGGCCCGGGCGGGUGGACGGCCAACCCGGGACUGAGACACGGCCAAGACUCCUACGGGAGGCAGCAGUAGGGAAUCUUCGGCAAUGGGGGGAACCCUGACCAAGCAACGCCGCGGGAGUGAAGAAGGUUUUCGGAUCGUAAAGCCCUGUUGUUAAGGAAGCGGUACUUAACCAGAAAGGGACGGCUAACUACGUGCCAGCAGCCGCGGUAAUUC